GCCUGGCUGGCUCAGGCAGUAGAACAAGUGAUUCUUGAUCUCCGGGUCGUGAGUUCAAACCCCACGUUGGGCG
rnacentral:tRNA from 1 species